GUCUUUCAUUGGAGAAGCUGUUCCUGGUUGUAGAGUUUAGAGCGGGAGUCUUCUUUAUCAGGGAGGACCUGUCCUGGACAGAAAGUGAUCUUCCUCUGCGGGAGAUCCUCAGCGGGUGGAGGACUUUGUACAUCAUCCGAGAAGAGGUGAUGUGCCAUGGCUGCUCCUGGGAUGCCUCCGGCUGAGCAGCGGAGGCUGGAAGACACUGAAGAGGCCGUGAACCUAUGCUACUACAAAAGCGUGUUGUACCUAAGGGCUUGUUUAAAAUUUAAAUCUCUCUACCUUCAAAUCGGACCCAUGGCAUGUUAGAGGCAGAUUCACAUGAAAUUCAAAGCCUGAAGGUAACCCCUGAGAGCUGCCUUUUAGACUCAUCAAUAUAGAAUAUUUGCAGCCAACCCAGGUUUAGUUGCAAUUGUGCUAAGAGCUAGUACCGCUGCCUAAACUGUGGAAAUCCCCAGCACAUUAAUGGUUUGGAUUUGUUUCUUUAAGU